UACUAGAGUAGCACUCGCAUAUCAAUAAGCGGAGGAAAAGAAACUAACAAGGAUUCCCCUAGUAACGGCGAGUGAAGCGGGAAGAGCUCAAAUUUGAAAUCUUAAAGAGUUUCCCUUUACGAAUUGUAGUUUAAAGAAGUGUUUUCUGUUGAGGUUUUGGUAAAAGUUCUUUGGAAUAGGACAUCAUAGAGGGUGAGAAUCCCGUAUUUGACCUUUACUUUCAACUUUGUGAUACACUUUCAAAGAGUCGGAUUGUUUGGGAAUGCAGUCCAAAAUGGGUGGUAAAUUUCAUCUAAAUGCUAAAUAUUGGCGAGAGACCGAUAGCGAACAAGUACCGUGAGGGAAAGAUGAAAAGAACUUUGAAAAGAGAGUUAAACAGUACGUGAAAUUGUCAAAAGGGAAGCGUUUGACACCAGUGUUGUUUUUCUGAAAAUCAAUUAAAGAACUGUUUAUGCUAAGCUGUUUAGACUUUAUCAGCUAUCUGUUUAGUUUUGAGCUUUUCUUUAAUGCACUUUUCAGUUAACAAGUCAACAUCAAUUUCUUUUGCUGUAAAAAAGCUUGAGGAAGGUGGCUUGAGAUUCGUCUUAAGUGUUUAUAGCCUCUUGCCUAUGCAGUCGGAGAGAUUGAGGUCUGCAGCGUAGAUCCUUCGGGGCUAAAUGCAUUUGUGCUAAGUUAUAGCAUUUUAUAGACAACUUGUUGACUAUGAUUUGUCUUGUAGCUUACUCGCUUAUGUUAUUUUACCUACGCUUAGGAUGUUGAUCUCUCACAGUCGAGC
rnacentral:rRNA from 1 species